GUUGCGCCAUGGUCACAAAAGAGGAGUGGUUGUCAUGCAGAAAGGAGAAAGUGCCCCCCCUCCCGCCCCUCAUUCCAGCUCCCACCGCCUUGGAAGGAGCUGCUUCCCCAAAGAGCAAGAACGGGAUUCACACCUCCUCCCAGUCGCGAGGCCUUCCUGCGCUUCUCCUCUGGAAGGAUCCGGAUUACUGUCUGGGAUUAAAGAACGGAACACGUAUGAGAGGAGCAGCUCUCAUACAGACAUCCUGUCUCGUCGCAAGACAGAGCAGAAAGAAAAAGUGCAAUAGUACCAGAGACGGAAUUCACACAGACUGGCUUCCUUCCUCACAGAACAGGAAAGGAAACAAGAAUCAGAUGAUCCUUGCAAUGGGAGGAGUGAAAUGCUAACAGAACGUGUGUCUUCUGCUUAUAAAUAUGCUCUUACCGGCAGAACGUUCUUACUGAAGUUUAAUAGGAAUCUCCAUUCCUGUUAUCUUUUAACACACUCGUUCGGAUCCCACCCUCCAGAGCAGGAGAAAACAAGGAGCCCCACCAAUUUGCUGCUUGGAGGCGCUGGAAGAGGAAGCUCUGUGAACCUCUUUACUCAUGACGUGAACCACCCUGGCAUCCUCAGAUCAAGGGCACUGCACAAAUUUAAUAGCUAUAGAAAUAAUCAAGUACGUUACCUGCUUGUGUGGUAAGAA